ensembl:snRNA
AAGGUUAGCAUUCCCCUGGACAGAGAUGACAGAGCCUUUGGGCCUGACAACAUACAAGUGGUUAAGGCACAGUUGCAGGAACCACUGCACAUA